AUGGAGUUGAUGGCAACAUCCUACUUCAAGGAGGUGUUCACGAAGGAUCCGACCCUCUCUUUGGAUUCAGUCCUAGAGAGGAUAGCACCGCGAGUUACACAGGGGAUGAGCGCGGCGUUAUGCGCGCCGUUUAGUGAUGAAGAGGUAUCUAACGCCCUGUUUCAAAUAGGGCCCCUAAAGGCACCAGGUACGGAUGGAUUCCCUGCUCGAUUCUAUCAACGUAAUUGGGUUGUCAUGAAACGUGAGAUCACUGCGGCGGUUCUAGAGUUUUUCAGCACGGGGGUAAUGCCGGAGGGUGUUAACGAAACAACUAUUGUACUAAUUCUGAAAGUCCCUUUCCCUAAGGAGCUCAAGGAUUUUCGUCCAAUAAGUUUGUGUAAUGUGAUCUAUAAGAUUGUGUCUAAGUGCUUGGUGAACCGUCUACGUCCUAUGUUGGCUGAAUUGAUCUCACAAAACCAGAGUGCUUUCAUACCUGGUAGGCUGAUAUCGGAUAGCUCAAUUAUAGCCUUCGAGUGUAUUAAUCAUAUUCAGACAAUGAAGAAUAACAAUCCAGCGGCAUGUGCAUACAAGCUGGACCUGUCAAAAGCGUACGAUCGGGUGGAUUGGGAGUUCCUAGAGAAAGCCUUGCGCAGGUGGGGUUUUUCUGCAACAUGGAUUACCUGGAUCAUGGCCUGUGUUAAAUCAGUGACAUACUCGGUGAAGUUCAAUGGAAAAUUACUUGAGGAAUUCUACCUGUCGAGGGGGCUACUGCAAGGUGAUCCACUGUCCCCUUUCCUUUUUCUGUUUGUUGCUGAUGUCCUGUCUGCUCUUAUCACCAAAUCAGUUGAGGAUGGGGAGUUGAAGGGUGUUACCAUCUGUCGAGGUGCUCCGGAAAUAUCUCACUUGCUUUUUGCGGAUGAUACAAUGAUGUUCUUUGAGGCGUCGAGCCAGCAAGCAAGCAUUGUCAAAGGGUUGUUGAACACUUACACUGCGGCGACGGGUCAACUCAUUAACCCCGAAAAGUUUUCCAUCCUCUUCUCUGACAACUGCAACGCGAUGGUGGCGGAUCAGGUAAAAGGCAUAUUAGAAGUCUCACAGCAAGUGUUUGAGCCUAAAUAUUUGGGCUUACCUGUGCCGGAAGGAAGAGUGCACACAGGGCAAUUUGAAACGGUUCACGAGAGAUUGCGAGCAAGGUUGAUUGAUUGGAGUGAACAAUUUGUAUCUGUGGGAAAUAAAGAAAUUUUAAUCAAAGGUGUUGCACAUGCCAUCCCUACAUAUGUGAUGAGUGUCUUUCGACUGUCGGCGUCCGUGUGUGACGACUUAACAUGA
rnacentral:rRNA from 1 species